rnacentral:rRNA from 1 species
AGUUGCGAACGGGUGAGUAACGCGUAGGUAACCUGCCUGGUAGCGGGGGAUAACUAUUGGAAACGAUAGCUAAUACCGCAUGAGAACAGAUGUUGCAUGACAUUUACUUAAAAGGUGCAAUUGCAUCACUACCAGAUGGACCUGCGUUGUAUUAGCUAGUUGGUGAGGUAACGGCUCACCAAGGCGACGAUACAUAGCCGACCUGAGAGGGUGAUCGGCCACACUGGGACUGAGACACGGCCCAGACUCCUACGGGAGGCAGCAGUAGGGAAUCUUCGGCAAUGGACGGAAGUCUGACCGAGCAACGCCGCGUGAGUGAAGAAGGUUUUCGGAUCGUAAAGCUCUGUUGUAAGAGAAGAACGAGUGUGAGAGUGGAAAGUUCACACUGUGACGGUAUCUUACCAGAAAGGGACGGCUAACUACGUGCCAGCAGCCGCGGUAAUACGUAGGUCCCGAGCGUUAUCCGGAUUUAUUGGGCGUAAAGCGAGCGCAGGCGGUUAGAUAAGUCUGAAGUUAAAGGCUGUGGCUUAACCAUAGUACGCUUUGGAAACUGUUUAACUUGAGUGCAAGAGGGGAGAGUGGAAUUCCAUGUGUAGCGGUGAAAUGCGUAGAUAUAUGGAGGAACACCGGUGGCGAAAGCG